rnacentral:rRNA from 1 species
GAUGAACGCUGGCGGCGUGCCUAAUACAUGCAAGUCGAGCGAACGGACGAUAAGCUUGCUUCUCUGAUGUUAGCGGCUGACGGGUGAGUAACACGUUGAUAACCUACCUAUAAGACUGGGAUAACUUCGUGAAACCGGAGCUAAUACCGUAUAAUAUUUUGAACCGCAUUGUUCAAAAGUAAAUGACGGUCUUGCUGUCACUUAUAGAUGGAUCCGCGCUGCAUUAUCUAUUUGGUAAGGUAACGGCUUACCAAGGCAACGAUGCAUAGCCGACCUGAGAGGGUGAUCGGCCACACUGGAACUGAGACACGGUCAAGACUCCUACGGGAGGCAGCAGUAGGGAAUCUUCCGCAAUGGGCGAAAGCCUGACGGAGCAACGCCGCGUGGGUGAUGAAGGUCUUCGGAUCGUAAAACUCUGUUAUUAGGGAAGAACAUAUGUGUAAGUAACUGUGCACAUCUUGACGGUACCUAAUCAGAAAGCCACGGCUAACUACGUG